UAUAAUAACAGUCGCGUUCCAAAGACAGCAGGUGGGGGAGACCCCGUAAGUCCUGCCGAGGAUGGCAAAAUCAUUUUGAUGUUGCUUUUCUGUCCUCAUGUCUUUCGGCAUGAGGACAGUUCCUUUUUGAAC
rfam:Oscillibacter sp. 57_20 Ley3_66761_scaffold_1248, whole genome shotgun sequence.